UACGGGGGGGGCAAGCGUUGUUCGGAAUUACUGGGCGUAAAGGGCUUGUAGGUGGCCAACUAAGUCAGACGUGAAAUCCCUCGGCUUAACCGGGGAACUGCGUCUGAUACUGGAUGGCUAGAGUGUGGGAGAGGGAUGCGGAAUUCCUGGUGUAGCGGUGAAAUGCGUAGAUAUCAGGAGGAACACCUGCGGUGUAGACAGCUUUCUGGACCACUUCUGACGCUGAGACACGAAAGCGUGGGUAGCAAACAGG
rnacentral:rRNA from 1 species